rnacentral:rRNA from 1 species
GACGAACGCUGGCGGCGUGCUUAACACAUGCAAGUCGAACGGAAAGGCCCUGCUUUUGUGGGGUGCUCGAGUGGCGAACGGGUGAGUAACACGUGAGUAACCUGCCCUUGACUUUGGGAUAACUUCAGGAAACUGGGGCUAAUACCGUAUAGGAGCUCCUGCUGCAUGGAGGGGGUUGGAAAGUUUCGGCGGGUGGGGAUGGACUCGCGGCUUAUCAGCUUGUUGGUGGGGUAGUGGCUUACCAAGGCUUUGACGGGUAGCCGGCCUGAGAGGGUGACCGGCCACAUUGGGCCUGAGAUACGGCGCAGACUCCUACGGGAGGCAGCAGUGGGGAAUAUUGCACAAUGGGCGGAAGCCUGAUGCAGCAACGCCGCGUGCGGGAUGACGGCCUUCGGGUUGUAAACCGCUUUCGCCUGUGACGAAGCGUGAGUGACGGUAAUGGGUAAAGAAGCACCGGCUAACUACGUG